GAUGAACGCUGGCGGCGUGCUUAACACAUGCAAGUCGAACGAAGCACUCUAUUUGAUUUUCUUCGGAAAUGAAGAUUUUGUGACUGAGUGGCGGACGGGUGAGUAACGCGUGGGUAACCUGCCUCAUACAGGGGGAUAACAGUUGGAAACGACUGCUAAUACCGCAUAAUCGCACAGUAUUGCAUGAUACAGUGUGAAAAACUCCGGUGGUAUGAGAUGGACCCGCGUCUGAUUAGCUAGUUGGUGGGGCAACGGCCUACCAAGGCGACGAUCAGGAGCCGACCUGAGAGGGUGACCGGCCACAUUGGGACUGAGACACGGACCAAACUCCUACGGGAGGCAGCAGUGGGGAAUAUUGCACAAUGGGGGAAACCCUGAUGCAGCGACGCCGCGUGAACGAAGAAGUAUUUCGGUAUGUAAAGUUCUAUCAGCAGGGAAGAUAAUGACGGUACCUGACUAAGAAGCACCGGCUAAAUACGUGCCAGCCGCCGCAGUAACAC
rnacentral:rRNA from 1 species